GGAAUAUUGGACAAUGGCCGGAAGGCUGAUCCAGCCAUGCCGCGUGCGGGAGGACGGCCCUAUGGGUUUUAAACCGCUUUUGUUGGGGAGCAAUAAGGUCUACGUGUAGACUGAUGAGAGUACGCAGCGAAUAAGCAUCGGCUAACUCCUUGCCAGCAGCCGCGGUAAUACGGAGGAUGCGAGCGUUAUCCGGAUUUAUUGGGUUUAAAGGGUGCGUAGGCGGACUUUUAAGCGUGAGGUGAAAUGCCCGGGCUCAACCUGGGAACUGCCUCGCGAACUGGGAGUCUGGAAUGUCCGUGCCGUGGGAGGAAUGUGUGGUGUAGCGGUGAAAUGCAUAGAGAUCACACAGAACACCGAUUGCGAAGGCAUCUCACGAACGGAUGAUUGACGCUGAGGCACGAAAGCGUGGGGAUCAAACA
rnacentral:rRNA from 1 species